UUUUUUUGCAGCUUGAUUUCUGAAACAAUUCCUUUCCACGGAGAUUUCCAGGCAUAGCUUACGCAAGCAAGGCUUCCGAGUAGGAAGGUCAGAUUGCGCGCUGUAAUCGAUGAGAUCGAGGCUCUGAAACCGGAAUUCGGGGAGUGGAUUAACUGGAUAUAGCCAACGAUGAAUCCUUUUGUGUUGGAAGUGGUUCCCAGUGGUAUUGUAUACUCCAGGACCUCUCUUUAAUGCUACGACCAACUACAGUGUUGUUGUUAGAGUCUUCAAUCAUUUGGAUGAUCCUCUUCUUUUGACUUGGUCUGGGCCGCCUGGCAUCCAAAUGCAGCGUCACUUGUGGCAAGACGGUCUUCCUGGCACACACUUCCUCCGAGAUGGAACUUUACUUACCAGUUUCAGGUGGAAGAUCAAAUUGGAAGCUUCUGCUCUCCCUUACUCAACUUCCAGAGAGCAUCUGCUAAGUUUGUUCAUGUUGUGAUUAAUAACUGGAACAUUAAAUCUUAUCCUUUUCCCACAGUCUGACGGCAAAAUGGUUUUAAGAAUAUUACUUGACUAUGGGAAAGAACUUGGGAUGCCGGAUGGAGUCCUCAUCAUGGACAGUGUCCUUACAAGUACAGCAGUAGUGUACCUGAUGGAAUUGAUUACUUAACCGCUCAUGUUGAACUAGAACGCUGCCGCUUUAGACAAGAAACCAGGAGUUUGCCGUGACUGCCAGGGCAUUGGUCCUGUUCUUAGUGAUAUGUAUGGGGGUACAUGAAAACUGAAAGCUAUCGAAAACGAGCCAAAGAUGUGUAUUGAGUUUACAGAAUGUCCUAACUGUUACGGUUUGUCUCGCAGCACAGAGGCAAUAAUUAUGAUUAUAGAAGAGGAAGAAAACUAAUUCAUUGUGGAUGCAUGG